AAGUUACUGUUUUCCUAUAUAUGUCUGUCUAACCUAUAAUUUGUUAUAUAGAACAGCUGGCCCACAACUCACAGAGAUCCACUUGCUCCUGCUGCCUGUUCAGGGGAUUAAAGAUGUUGAACUCAAGACCUCUUGUGUGCAAGGCAAUCAUUUCACUGAAAAGACAUUCUGGAGAGUCUGUGGCAUGUUGGUGACAGAGCCAAUGGAAAGAGAAUUCCAUGGAAUGCUGAGGAAGCAAGUGCCAGGUCCACGUAGCUAUGACUGAAGACAGAGCUGCCUCAAGGGUGUGGUUGAAGUAAAAACAGUCUCCAACACAUAUGGAUGGGCAAAGCACUGAGAGCUCCAAGGAGGAGGUGGAAAGAGCCAUAAGGGAUGGAGGACACCAGGAGAAUAAGGUGCUCUAAAUCAACUCACAAAACCCACAGUAACUGACAGAGAGUGAAACAGCAAGGAUAAGACUGACAUGGGUCUG